UAUAGCAAGAUUACCAUUUUAACCACUUAAAAAUGUUUUUGACUAGAAAGAAGGGAGGAAAAUUUUAACCGUUUGUAAUUGUAUGGUUCAGUGGCAUCGCCUCCGUUCACACUGCUGUGCAUCCGUCACCACCGUCCAUCUCCAGAACUUUUUAAUCCUCCCAAACUGAAUUUCCACACCCUUGAGGCUCACCGUUCCUCCCUCCUACUAUCCCCUGGCAACCACCGUUCUCCUUUCCAUUUCUGUGAACCCGACUGCUUCUAGGUACCUCCUGAGAAAUUUGGACACAGAGACAGACACGCACAGAAGGAAGAUGAUGUAAAGACACAGAGUACCACGUGAGGCUGGAGGACUGGAGUGAUGUAUUUACAACCCAAGGAACGUCUAAGGUUAUCAGCAUACUGUCAGAAGCAAGGAAGAGGCAAGGAAGGAUCCCCUACAAGUUUGAAAAGUGUCAUGGCCCUGCUGACACAUUUAUUUUGGACUUUUAGCCAGAACUGUGAGAAAAUAAAUUGCUGUAUUUUCAAGUCA
rnacentral:lncRNA from 1 species